rnacentral:tmRNA from 1 species
GGGGGUGAACUGGGCUCGACGAGCGCGCUCGAGGCCUCGGUGGCAGGUCGAAGUCGUCCGCGCUUCGCUAAAAAACGGGCAAACACACACAAGCCAACACUGAGUUGGCCCUCGCGGCCUAAACAGCCGUGACGUUCAUCCCUUGACGCCGGCUGGAGGGAAUGGACGUCAUUAGCCGGCUGGCCGUCUCCCGCGCGCUUCGUCGGGACCGGCGAGACCAUAACGGAGCUGGCGGGAGGGUGGUUCUGUCUAGGGACAACCCACUCGCGAGACCAAACCUAGGCUAAGCCUGUAGACACUGGGCCGACACACGCCCGGACGGGGGUUCGACUCCCCCCACCUCCAUUU